UCCGCAAAUCCUGUUACAAGCACAAGGUAAAACACGAAAAUUCUAUAAGAGCCCACCAUAUUGUUCGGACAAGAUCCACUUCUUUAACAGGUGGACCUUCUCAUGUGCCCAGAAAUGAGUGCAGUCCAAAGCGUUGGACCUGCAAACAAAGAAGGUAGUUGGUGGUGGAUAUCAAGAGCAAGCGUCAUAUCUCUUUGACUCUCAUUCUAGCUCUCUAGUUACUAUUUUAGAAUUCAAUAAGUGACAUUGUCACUUUGGCAUUCCUUACUUCGAGUUUUAAAAAUGUUGUUGCUUGUAUUGGUUGUAGUUCAUUGUGGUCUGAUACUUGUAAGCUCUUGAAGCAUCAUGGGUGUAUUUUUUUUUCUAGAGAUGGAGCUGGAAUUUGUGGAUGGGGAUAACUUGAGUAAUGCAUACUUUUUCAUCUAUUAUU